AUUGAACGCUGGCGGCAGGCUUAACACAUGCAAGUCGAGCGGGGUGAUGGUGCUUGCACUAUCACUUAGCGGCGGACGGGUGAGUAAUGCUUAGGAAUCUGCCUAUUAGUGGGGGACAACAUUUCGAAAGGAGUGCUAAUACCGCAUACGUCCUACGGGAGAAAGCAGGGGAUCUUCGGACCUUGCGCUAAUAGAUGAGCCUAAGUCGGAUUAGCUAGUUGGUGGGGUAAAGGCCUACCAAGGCGACGAUCUGUAGCGGGUCUGAGAGGAUGAUCCGCCACACUGGAACUGGGACACGGCCCAGAAUCCUACGGGAGGCAGCAGUGGGGAAUAUUGGACAAUGGGCGGAAGCCUGAUCCAGCCAUGCCGCGUGUGUGAAGAAGGCCUUAUGGUUGUAAAGCACUUUAAGCGAGGAGGAGGCUACUUUAGUUAAUACCUAGAGAUAGUGGACGUUACUCGCAGAAUAAGCACCGGCUAACUCUGUGCCAGCAGCCGCGGUAACUC
rnacentral:rRNA from 1 species